UACGUAGGGGGCAAGCGUUAUCCGGAUUUACUGGGUGUAAAGGGAGCGUAGACGGCAGUGCAAGUCCGGAGUGAAAGCCCACGGCCCAACCGUGGGACUGCUCUGGAAACUGUAAAGCUGGAGUGCGGGAGGGGCAGGCGGAAUUCCUAGUGUAGCGGUGAAAUGCGUAGAUAUUAGGAGGAACACCGGCGGCGAAGGCGGCCUGCUGGACCGUAACUGACGUUGAGGCUCGAAAGCGUGGGGAGCAAACAGG
rnacentral:rRNA from 1 species